rnacentral:rRNA from 1 species
CCUACGGGAGGCAGCAGUAGGGAAUCUUCCGCAAUGGACGAAAGUCUGACGGAGCAACGCCGCGUGAACGAUGAAGGCCUUCGGGUCGUAAAGUUCUGUUGUUAGGGAAGAACAAGUGUUAGUUGAAUAAGCUGGCACCUUGACGGUACCUAACCAGAAAGCCACGGCUAACUACGUGCCAGCAGCCGCGGUAAUACGUAGGUGGCAAGCGUUGUCCGGAAUUAUUGGGCGUAAAGCGCGCGCAGGCGGUUUCUUAAGUCUGAUGUGAAAGCCCCCGGCUCAACCGGGGAGGGUCAUUGGAAACUGGGAAACUUGAGUGCAGAAGAGGAAAGUGGAAUUCCAAGUGUAGCGGUGAAAUGCGUAGAGAUUUGGAGGAACACCAGUGGCGAAGGCGACUUUCUGGUCUGUAACUGACGCUGAGGCGCGAAAGCGUGGGGAGCAAACAGGAUUAGAUACCCUGGUAGUCCACGCUGUAAACGAUGAGUGCUAAGUGUUAGAGGGUUUCCGCCCUUUAGUGCUGAAGUUAACGCAUUAAGCACUCCGCCUGGGGANACGGUCGCAAGCUGAAACUCAAAGGAUUGACGGCUGNGAGNGCGAGCGACGACGAGGAGAG